rnacentral:rRNA from 1 species
GACGAACGCUGGCGGCGCGCUUAACACAUGCAAGUCGAACGGAAAGGCCUGCUUUCCCUUGUGGAUUGCGGGUACUCGAGUGGCGAACGGGUGAGUAACACGUGAGUGAUCUGCCCCCAACUUGGGUAUAAGCCUGGGAAACUGGGUCUAAUUCCCGAUAGGACUGCAGGGUGGUGCCUGUGGUGGAAAACUAUUUUCUAGUGGUUGGGGAUGAGCUCGCGGCCUAUCAGCUUGUUGGUGGGGUAAUGGCCUACCAAGGCGGCGACGGGUAGCCGGCCUGAGAGGGUGGACGGCCACAUUGGGACUGAGAUACGGCCCAGACUCCUACGGGAGGCAGCAGUGGGGAAUAUUGCACAAUGGGCGGAAGCCUGAUGCAGCGACGCCGCGUGGGGGAUGACGGCCUUCGGGCUGUAAACUCCUUUCGACCGCGAGGAAGCCACCUGGUUGGAAGGGUGGUGACGGUAGUGGUAGAAGAAGCACCGGCUAACUACGUG